rnacentral:lncRNA from 12 species
GUUGACGCACGUCUCGCUGUGCGCGCGCACGCACGUACACACAUAGCGUCUCCUGUAGCUUUAAACAGCGCUCGCUCACUCGCUCGCUCAGUCAGGGAGGGCAAGAGAGAGAGAGAGAGCGGGAGGAGGAGGAGGAGUGUGAACGUUGCGGAGUUCUCGGGGAUUCCGAGAAUAUACAGUUCAGACUCAGACUCGACAGUGACCGACGAGUUUUUGGACUCUACUUCCAUUUGGCGCCGCUCAAGCUCGGAUAGCGGAAUCAGGAGGUGCUGAAGGAAAAACGGAAUGUGAGACACCGGACGUGUUCUUAGGUUCAUAAACAGGACGCCUUGGUUAAAAGUUGAACUGUUUUUAACUUGACACGGCGUCUUAUAAACGUAACAGCGAGACCAAAGACUUGAGAAUGCAUGCUGUGUGGCUCGCAGUGGUCGCUCCUGUCAUUUAGUUUCCAUUUUGUUUCUCUGUUACAGUCAGUGCGAUCUUACCGCUUCAUUUAUCUGCUGGGUUAUUCUUCAUACACGGGUUAAGAACUAGUUAUUUAUAUUUCUGUUUCCAAGCCAUAUCAUUUAUUAUAUUUUAUAAUUUAAUAAUAUGUAAUGCAGUGUAAGAAGCAUUAAAUUUNUUAAGAGCCAUUAAUAGUCAUAAAAUUCAUUAAUACGCUAGGUUAAACCCUUCAAGAUCUUACCUGACACACAUUUUGGACUUUACAUUGUUUAUAGCCUAGUUUUCUGUAUCUAGGUUUCCUGUGGGUUCAGUCAAUAAAAUUGGGAGGUCAAGGGUUUAAGUUUAAAGGUGGUUAGAGAUCAUAGUUUGUGUUCAGUAUUGGUUCAGGUGGCUUUCUUUGGUAAAGGAAAAGAUCAGUUACUGAAAAGUGUUUGUCAUAGUCUGUCCAAAGAGCAUGUGCAUGUGUUUUGAAGAGUCAGGACAGAGUGGAUUGAGAAAUCUAUUGUGGAUUUCAUUUUAGUAGCCUAUUACUUGAUCCAUUAGUUUUCUUUCACUCUCAUAUCUCCAUCAAGAGAAAAUAUGCAUAUUCAUUAGUCUCGUCAUCAGACAUUUAUUUUAAGAAUCAGACAUUUGUCUGUUAGAUCUACAGUACAGGUGCAAAAUAAUUCAUGUUUCAAUGUCAGGAGAUUAUUUGAAGAGAUGGGAUAGAGUCAGGCUGACAGCACUAUGCAACCUGUUAUCUGACUUCUUAAAGAUUGAUGCUGACUUGUUAUCUUUGCAAAAGAAAUUAAAAUGAACACAUUGCGACCUAAUUUCUCAGAGGGGAUGUCAAUACAAUGAACACAGUGUGGUUAAAACCAUGUUGGGUCAUCAUCAUCUUAAAAUAGUAUCCUAAACCUCAACUUCAACAUUCAGUUUAGUCUUCCGGCUUAGAUCUUUUUAUGUUGUUUUACUUUUAUCAAAGUAUUUAUCAGGAAGGGGCAUUUUUCACAGGAAUACUGAAGCACAUGGUUUUAGCUAGUGCAACAUAAACUUGCAUGGUGUUUUGGUCAUAAAUCCAUAGAAGCCACGGGCGCUUUACACUCAUUAACAGGUCAGUUGACAGCUCAGGGACACAGUGGUUGCGUGUUUGUUCCUUGUGCAAUGAAUCUUGUUUUAUACAGGGUAUAUCAGUGAUAAUAGGUGGC